CAGGGGCCGGGGUCUGAGGGGGAGUGCAUGGGAGCCCAGGCGGCGGUGGUGGUGGCGGGAGCCCGGGAGCCCGGCGCAUUGCUGAGGGGUGACUCACAGCCGGGGAAGGGAAGGAAUGCCCUCGCAUUCUUUCGGGAGGUAAACAAGGUCAGGGAGGGCAGGCCGGGAUCCUGUUUACCUGACCCUGGCCCCCCCAGCCCCGCUCCCCUGGGGACCAGGAGCCAGGGCAGGACAACACCCUGGAGCAGAACCAGCCAGACCUCAAGGGUGCCAUGCGGGAACCCAAGGCAUGGUCCCCAGUGGCCACUGUGGAGAUGAGGCCACCCGGCCUAGUGGCUUAAGAGCAAGGACCUCGGGAUCAGCCUGGCCUGGAUUAAGCCUGGCUUUGCCACUCGCCAGCUGGUGCCCUCAAGCCUGUUCCCUGUCUCCUUCAAGCCUCGAUUUCCUGAUCUGUGACACAGAAUCUCCCAGGAUUGCUGUGACAUUGAGCUGAUACACACGAAGCACCUGGCACACACAGCCACAACCCAGAAAUAACCAGGAUGUCUAUCUGCAGUAGCAUGGAAUGGGAUUAUUAGACGCCUGUCACAGAGUCUGGGGAGGAAGGAGCUGGACACAAAGAAGUAAAUACUGUGUGAAUCCAUUUCUGUGAAUGUCAAGAAAAAAGAGAGGAAAGAAACUACUAAAGUCAGGACAGGGGUGCUCUUUGGGCAAAAAGGGAGGAACGAGGGGAAGGACGAGGGGGGUUUCUUGGGUGCGGGCAGUGUCUUAUCUCUGGAUCUGGGCACUAUUUGCACAGGUGUGUUUAGCUUGUAACAAUUCAUCCUGCUGGACAUUUACAAUGUAAGCACCUUUCUUUACAUUGCGCUUCAAUAAAAAGUUAAAAAAAAAAAAAACCCUCCACCUACAAAGCCCAAAGUCCUCCACAGCGGUUCCCACCAACUCAUCCUCAGUUCCCGGAACCGUGUAGCGCCAUCUAGUUCCAUGUCGCUCUCUCUGCCGGGAAUUCCUGUAUCCCGUUGGUAAACGCUUCUCUGGGCUCACCGCCACCCCCAGGAAGUCCUGCCUUCUGGCCCCAGACAGAGGUGGUUUCUCCCUCCUCAAAAAGCUGCAGGUGGAGUUCCCGUCGUGGCCCAGUGGUUAACGAAUCUGACUAGGAACCAUGAGGUUGCAGGUUCGGUCC